rnacentral:rRNA from 1 species
UCCUACGGGAGGCAGCAGUGGGGAAUAUUGCACAAUGGGCGGAAGCCUGAUGCAGCGACGCCGCGUGAGGGAUGACGGCCUUCGGGUUGUAAACCUCUUUCAGCACGGAAGAAGCGAAAGUGACGGUACGUGCAGAAGAAGCGCCGGCUAACUACGUGCCAGCAGCCGCGGUAAUACGUAGGGCGCAAGCGUUGUCCGGAAUUAUUGGGCGUAAAGAGCUCGUAGGCGGUUUGUCGCGUCUGCUGUGAAAGCCCGGGGCUUAACCCCGGGUGUGCAGUGGGUACGGGCAGACUUGAGUGCAGUAGGGGAGACUGGAAUUCCUGGUGUAGCGGUGAAAUGCGCAGAUAUCAGGAGGAACACCGAUGGCGAAGGCAGGUCUCUGGGCUGUUACUGACGCUGAGGAGCGAAAGCAUGGGGAGCGAACAGGAUUAGAUACCCUGGUAGUCCAUGCCGUAAACGUUGGGCACUAGGUGUGGGGAACAUUCCACGUUUUCCGCGCCGUAGCUAACGCAUUAAGUGCCCCGCCUGGGGAGUACGGCCGCAAGGCUAAAACCCAAAGGAAUUGACGCGGGCCCGCACAAGCGGUGGAGCAUGUGGUUUAAUUC